rnacentral:lncRNA from 1 species
ACUACAACUCAAACUACUACAACUCCUAUUACUACUACAACACCGACUACAACCACAACUCCGACUACAACUACAACUACAACUCCUACUACAACUACACCUCCGACUACUACUACUACUACUACAGAAACUCCGACUACAACUCUCACAACACCAGUGGUUACCACAACACCGACUACGACGACACAAUCAACUACAACAUCUGUUACCACACCAUCAGUCACAGAGCCAGCGACAGCAACGACUCCAACUCCGAGAAAUACUUCGUCUGUCGUCCCCAGCCAUACUUCCGGGAUGACACACCAAAACACGAAACCUGCCACUCAAACACCAGACGACACUGUGGUACAGACGAUGGGCCAAGAGACAACUACUACAAAAGUAAAUGUUAAGGACGGAAACAUUGGUACAAGGGUUCACGCAUCAUCCCUGUUUGUUGGUGGACUCGUCUGUCUGACAGCAGUACUGGGCAGAUAGCUCAGAGUAUACGAAGAGACCUCUUGAUCCGGUGCAGGCGUGUGUGGUUAGAGAAUAAUAGUUAGUACAUUUACAAUACAAUAUUUCUGCAGACUGGACACAGCCAAGGCUGUAAGGGGUAUAUAGGAGAAGGGCUACGGGGAGAACAAAUGCCUCGCAACCCAACUGCCAUAGUGCGUGAGCCAAUGUUGGAAUCUGGUGCUCUGUAGAGGGUCGACAUUGGAGACGUUGUCUAACGUUUGUCUGUUUGUUUGUUGUUUAACGCCGCACUCAGCAAUAUUACAGCUAUAUGAUGGCGAUCUGUAAAUGAUCGAGUCUGGACCAGACAAUCCAGUGAUUGAUAUCAGGUGCAUCCAGCGCCGCAAUUGGGAUACGAUGACAUGCAUAAACCAAGUCAGCGAGCCUGACCGCCCGAUCCCGUAAGUCGCCUCUUACAACAAGCAUGGGUUACUGAAGACCCGGAUCUUCAUGUGUAACAUGUCUAAAGAAACCAUUCACUUGUAAUUCAUGUUUUCGUGCGUUGUGUACAUUUUACUAUUGCUUUACCAUUAUCCAUAUGUUCGUGAAAACAAUCUGACCGCAAUCACUGAGAAUGAAGGUUGGGAUUGAUUCAAGCAGUAAAGCACCAAGAUAACUUGCACGCGUCAGAAGCACUGUUCCAUGGCGCCUAGAGGGCAAGAAUAUACACGUACCCCCUUUAUAUAAAUCAUACGUUUGCUAAUAGUUAGAGGAGAACAUGGUAAUGGAUGGAAGGACGAUGGAAUGAAAGCGGGUGUUUCACCAUAGAAAUACUUGGAUGAAUGAACGAAUAUAAGAUCGAAUAAAUGAAUGUCUGUUCAAAUUGGCGCAAUAGGAAUCUUGGAGUGAUGGGUACCCAUGUAUCAACUGUGUAGUAGUAAUGGCCUUACUCGUGUUUCUAUCCGACUUUAUAUAUAUACAUGUUCAAAGUGCAAAUAACACGUCUGGUUUGGCAGGAGACAUAUACAUACAUCAAUGUACACUUGUCCGCGUUGUCGCUGCACUUCAGGACCAAACCAACUGUUGACGGUGAAAAUAAUGGAAUUUUUAUAAUAAAAUGUAAAUAAACAGCAUAACUGCU